rnacentral:rRNA from 1 species
GAGGUAGCUUCCGUAGUGACCUGCGGAAGGAUCAUUA